GCGCUAUUAGCUCAAUUGGUAGAGCAGUGGACUCUUAAUCCAUUGGUUCCAGGUUCGAGUCCUGGAUGGCGCACCA
rnacentral:tRNA from 1 species